UACGGAGGGGGCUAGCGUUGUUCGGAAUUACUGGGCGUAAAGCGCGCGUAGGCGGACCUGCAAGUCGGGGGUGAAAGCCCGAGGCUCAACCUCGGAACUGCCUUCGAUACUGCGGGUCUCGAGUCCGGGAGAGGUGAGUGGAAUUCCUAGUGUAGAGGUGAAAUUCGUAGAUAUUAGGAAGAACACCGAUGGCGAAGGCAGCCCCCUGGGUCAAAACUGACGCUCAUGCACGAAAGCGUGGGGAGCAAACAGG
rnacentral:rRNA from 1 species